rnacentral:lncRNA from 1 species
AACCAUAUGCACCACAAUAAGAUCGAUCACCCAAUGGACCUCUAACUCAAAUAAGCUUACCAUUGUUUCAUCUAUUUGCGUAUCUUAUGCAGGAUAAUAAAUGAAUGAAUGGUUUUUUAUCUCUCGGACAAUUACAUCGAAGAUCUAGAGAAACUCUUAAAAGAAGGAAGUUUGCAAGAACGAGGGACAUUUUUUAAUCACCA